GUGGAAUUUUAAAGGAGGACAAAGUAUUCAGGGAACUUGUAGUAACAGACACUGCAAAAGGUCUUGUUCACGUCUUUUUCUCCCAGCGUUUAUUAUCAAAGGUACCAAAUGUAACUGAUCGUGGCCUUAAGCCAAGACAAGUGAAGAAAGUUGCUGUUAUUGGGGGUGGUUUAAUGGGUUCCGGCAUAGCAACAGCUCUUAUUUUAAGCAACAUCCAUGUUGUUCUCAAGGAAAUCAAUGCUGAAUAUCUUCAAAAGGGAAUAAAAACUAUUGAAGGAAAUCUUCAAGGCUUCGUAGUGAAAGGCAAGCUGACACAAGAUAAGGCAGAAAAAGCUCUUCGGAUUCUUAAAGGUUCACUGGAUUAUUCAGACUUCAAAGAUGUGGAUAUGGUGAUUGAGGCUGUUGUUGAGAAUGUUCCCCUGAAGCAAAAACUAUUUAGUGAAAUUGAGAAAGUAUGCCCUGCUCACUGCAUAUUGGCAACAAAUACCUCAACUAUCGACCUCAAUCUAGUU
rnacentral:misc_RNA from 1 species